AAAGUAACAAAAAUGAUUUCGAGAAAGAACCGUGGAUGAACUUGUUGUUUUUUUGUGUUUUUGUUACAAUUUUUUUUCAUUUAGUUCUCUUUAGGAAGAAAUCCUUUCGCCAAAUUUAAAGUAUUUUUCAUCAAGCA
rnacentral:ribozyme from 13 species